rnacentral:rRNA from 1 species
CCCCUAGAUGUUCUGGGCCGCACGCGCGCUACACUGAACAGUUCAACAAGUCUUAACCUUGGCCGAUAGGUCUGGGUAAUCUUUGAACGCUGUUCGUGAUUGGGAUACACCUUUGCAAUUAUGGGUCUUCAACGAGGAAUUCCUAGUAAACGCAAGUCAUCAGCUUGCAUUGAUUACGUCCCUGCCCUUUGUACACACCGCCCGUCGCACCUACCGAUUGAAUGGUCCGGUGAAAUCUCGGGACGGCGGCUUGGUCGCUUGCGUCCGACUGCUGAAACUUGAUUAAACCAUNUNAUUUAGNGGAAGGUGAANUCGUANCA